UACGUAGGGGGCAAGCGUUGUCCGGAAUCAUUGGGCGUAAAGCGCGUGUAGGCGGUUCGGUAAGUCGGCUGUGAAAGUCCAGGGCUCAACCCUGGGAUGCCGGUCGAUACUGCCGGACUAGAGUUCGGAAGAGGCGAGUGGAAUUCCCGGUGUAGCGGUGAAAUGCGCAGAUAUCGGGAGGAACACCAACGGCGAAGGCAGCUCGCUGGGACGUUACUGACGCUGAGACGCGAAAGCGUGGGGAGCAAACAGG
rnacentral:rRNA from 1 species